UACGUAGGGUCCGAGCGUUGUCCGGAGUUACUGGGCGUAAAGCGCGCGCAGGCGGCCCGCCAAGACCGGCGUGAAAGCCCCCGGCUCAACCGGGGAGGGUCGUCGGUGACUGGCGGGCUCGAGGACGGCAGGGGUCGGUGGAAUGCCCGGUGUAGUGGUGAAAUGCGUAGAGAUCGGGCGGAACACCCGUGGCGAAGGCGGCCGACUGGGCCGGUCCUGACGCUGAGGCG
rnacentral:rRNA from 1 species